ACUUGCAUGCAAGCAGGAGGGGGCGGGGAUCCCUCAGCUGGGAGGGGAGACUUCCGGUUGCCUAACUGAGAGAUCCCUGCCCCCUCCUGCUUGCAUGCAAGC